GUGGGGAAUAUUGGACAAUGGGCGAAAGCCUGAUCCAGCCAUGCCGCGUGUGUGAAGAAGGUCUUCGGAUUGUAAAGCACUUUAAGUUGGGAGGAAGGGCAAUAAGUUAAUACCUUGCUGUUUUGACGUUACCGACAGAAUAAGCACCGGCUAACUUCGUGCCAGCAGCCGCGGUAAUACGAAGGGUGCAAGCGUUAAUCGGAAUUACUGGGCGUAAAGCGCGCGUAGGUGGGUUUGUAAGUUGGAGGUGAAAUCCCCGGGCUCAACCUGGGAACUGCCACCAAAACUGCAUGACUAGAGUACGGUAGAGGGUAGUGUAAUUUCCUGUGUAGCGGUGAAAUGCGUAGAUAUAGGAAGGAACACCAGUGGCGAAGGCGACUACCUGGACUGAUACUGACACUGAGGUGCGAAAGCGUGGGGAGCAAACAGGAUUAGAUACCCCUGUAGUCC
rnacentral:rRNA from 1 species